rnacentral:rRNA from 1 species
AGCCGUCACCGGGUGCGAUGUGUGGUGGGCAGUGCUGCAAAGCCUGUCUGUCAUACCUGUCGUACACGUUGGCGGUGCAUUUGCGUGCAGAGUGCGUCGAGUCGGCCGUGCGUGUCGUUGCAAGCGUGCGAAGAGGACCAGCUUGCUGGCACCCUGAGUGCGUGGAAGGCGAGUGCGUAUGGUUGUACGGGGGUUGGUGAACUCGUGGCCGGGUGCGAGGAUGUGGGUUGUUUGCGUGUAGUGCUUGCAUUGCUAGCUUGCGAUUCACGUCUUCGUGUCCGGCUGCUCUGCCCUCACUCGGCGUCGAGUCGGUCACCCAUCCGACCCGUCUUGAAACACGGACCAAGGAGUUUAAGGUUUGCGCAAGUCGUUGAGUGGCAAGCUCAGAGGCGUAAUGAAAGUGGGACACUUGGUGUCUGCGAUGCGACCGGUGUGCGUUUCGAUGCGCGCCGGGCAGCAUAGACCCACGUUCCUUUUUCCUUCCAUGUCCGAGUCCGAAAGCGAAGUCCCAGGACCGAAAGGGAAAGUGGUGGUUCCUUGAAAGGGAAGUUGUUGGUCCUUGUCCUUCUCAAGUCCCAGUAUCCGAGGGAAGU